CCUACGGGCGGCAGCAGUGGGGGAUAUUGCACAAUGGGGGAAACCCUGAUGCAGCGACGCCGCGUGAGUGAAGAAGUAUUUCGGUAUGUAAAGCUCUAUCAGCAGGGAAGUAAAUGACAGUACCUGACCAAGACGCCACGGCUAACUACGUGCCCGAAGCCGCGGUAAUACGUCGGGGGCAAGCGUUAUCCGGAUUUCCUGGGUGUAAAGGGAGCGUAGUCGGUUAUUUAAGUCUGUAGUGAAAGCCCGGGGCCCAACCCCGAGACUGCUUUUGAAACUGUGUAACUGGAGUACAGAAGGGGCAGGCGGAAUUCGUGGUGUAGCGGUGAAAUGCGUAGAUAUCAGGAGGAACACCGGCGGCGAAGGCGGCCUGCUGGACUGAAACUGACGUUGAGGCUCGAAAGCGUGGGGAGCAAACAGGAUUAGAUACCCUUGUAGUC
rnacentral:rRNA from 1 species